ensembl:lncRNA
AUUGCCUCAUUUGACAAGGAUCUGGAGACAGCAGCUCGCUUUGGAUCCCAGAGAUGAUUCCAGAUGGAAAGAAGGAAGGAAAGGAGGGAAGAAGAACACAUUUAUAGAAACCAUGGAUUAUUUUUAAGUGCCUUAAAAUAUGGAUUCUGCAUCAGCAGUUGUGGGAAGAGGCAGGACUCUGUAUUUCUAACAAGACCACAGGUGAUGCUGACACUCAUGGUCCUCAGACCACACUGAAUGAUGAGGCCUUUCAACUCAGAAUCCAGACUUAAGACCAAAUAAGGAUCUUAUGGCUGAAAAGCUUCCAGGUACACUUCUCUGAGUAACCAGUACACUGGGGAAAAAGUGGAAACCAGGACUGUUCCAGGCAAGCCUAGCUGUUGGGGACCCUCCCAUACCAUGCGGCUGGCCAGCCUCUCCUGCAUAUAGCGUCCACCCCUAAUGAGAUCCUGGAAGAGCAUUGCCUGCUUGCCUUGUACACCCUCCUCAGUACUCAGGCAACCACGUUUCCUAGAGAUUAUCUCAAGAAAACCUCGAGGGACUUGUCAUCAGGUCUCAUGUCCAGGUGCAGAUCCCCUAGUUAUGGCCCCGAACAGAUACAUCCUCCUGCAAACAGGCUUUUGACGUGUACUAAGGAAGCUUUGGCAAUUUAUAUCACCCCCAGUAGUAUGGAUAUUAAAGGAUGUUAAUAUAUCAUUUAAUGUUAAUGUUGUCAGAAGCAGAAGGUGGAGCCAGCAAGCAAUUCAGCAGACAAGGGAAAUCAGCACCAUGAGCUCGCAUCCACAGCUGUUGCUGUCCCUGUGUCCUUAGGAAGAGCUAUCUGAUGGAAGAAGGUCUCAUUUGAGUUUCUGCCCUGUUUUCUUCAUUUCAUCAAGUGUAGCUCUCCAUCUAUGAAAGCCAGCAACCCUCAGCUUGGCCACGCUGUGGGCACAAAGUCACACCAGCUGUAAAACCCACCUCUCACUGAAGAAAAAGCCCCUGGUGCUCAAACAGGAAGUCCAGUCUCUGCAGCUGCCUUAGAAGACUUUGUUCUGGGAGCCCCGUCUUCCCCAGAGGCAUCUGGCAAGAGUUCGCAAACCCCCCUGCCAGAAGCAUCACUGUGGGUAUCUGCUCUUUGCGCUUCCCACUGCUCUUCUGGGGAACUCUGCUUAAAAGCCACCCACGGAAGCUUCGCAGUUUUUCCUGUUGCCAAUGCUAACCAAGAAAAAUCGAGUCUAAGCAGGGGCUGCCUGCCGAAGCCGCCUAGGCUGUUGCUUGUCCAGGGGCCAGCGUGGAGCCAGGUUCCAUGCAGAAGUGGGGAGAAAGGCUGUUUCCUCCGCCCUCUGCGCUGCUCUCCCAGGGGAAGCAGGGACUCUGGCUCACCAAUUCUGCAAGAAGCCACUUUAACUCUCAGUCUGCUCUGGCCAGCUUCCCCGCUUCAUGGUGCGGAUGCAGUGGCAGCCCGUCGAGUUCAUUCGCUACAGGAAAGGGGAUGGUAAAUGGACUGUUAAGAGGAAGCCGGUCCUGGCAGGGUGCUUUUGAUGGGCAAAAGGACAUGAUGACAGGCGCCGACGAAGCAUUCCUCUCCACCUUGUGGGAAAGAGCACAAGCCUGGAACAGGUGCAGUCACACACACACACACACACACACACACACACACACCCACACACACACCCACCCACACACACACACCCCCUGCCGAGAGAGGAUGGUGGAACUUGUAACUGCUUACUCAUCUCAAAUAACUUAAAGCAUGUCAUCACCACUCGAGGCCACAGGAAUGAAUCCUGCCACAGAGUGGAGAUCUGUUUUCUUCCUUAAAGCCCUCAGAGUGUUCUGCUUCAAUUCCCUGCAUGGGAUGUAGAUAUAUUAAAUACCAAAAAAAAAUGACCAUAAAGUGAACAUUAUGGUUGAGAAAUGAGGUCCAAGGAUGCCAAGAAAUUCAAAACUGAGUGUUCCCCCAGCAGCUCUAACUCAGCCAUUUUUGCACUAAUGCGUCCUUUCCCAUUUCGGAAUCCUCGGUGGAACACCCAUUUCAUAUGGACUCUGGAUCCUUCAGUUGAGCCAGGGGAGGAAUGCCUGGAGUCCCUCUGUUCCUUCUCACUUCCUCAGGUCGUGGGAAAAACCCCCUCUCAGACCCUUCCACGGAGCCCUUGAACGGGGCCAGGCAUGGCACAGCAUGCUCUAGAGCCUGGAGCGGGGGCAGGGAGGGGGCAGCCCAGCCCCAGGAAGCUGGACCAGUUCCCUUCCCCAGCCGCUCCCUGAGAGCCAAGAGGCUAGUCCUGGCUCCACACAGCAACUGUAUCCAUGCUGAUAUGCGGGAUGCAUUAGUGGUUCCACACAACUGAUGUGCUCAGGCACCUCCAGGGUACAUUAGUGGAAGAGGCUUCAGCAGCUGGUGGCUCCUCUUCAGGCAUAAUUUAUCUAUUGCACUUUACUUAAUGUGCAAAAUUAAAUUUAUGCUGAAUCCAUGUGUAUUACCUACUGUGCAUGAGCAGCAUGAAAUAUACCAUAAAGCAAAUCAGCACAGAGCCAUGCUCUUAAUUGCUAAUGGCUUUCAACACACUUCAUUGUGGUCUAACCAAACUUGGACUCUGCUCUACACUAAGAAUCCUGCUCGUAUCAAGGUUGAAAAUGCUUCUCCCAGAGAACUUCUGGAGAACCGAAGGACCAAACAGAAAUGCUUUUGAGCCAGUCUUUCUAGAGCCUGUGUCUUUUAGAGCACAGAUUCUGUGCUUUGCACUAAUGUGAUCGAUACAGUUGCUACAUAGGACAUGAUUUUGCUGAAAAUGAACAAAUCAAUGUCAACUUUUUAAAAGUGGAAUAUAAGAAAUAACCCCAGGAUUCAGUCCAAGUUCUGCCAAUUUGGGUUUCUGGUUCCAUAUAGUAAAACAUAGGGAUUAGAAUGGUUGAUUUCCACCC